UAAUGUCAGUAGUCAUACAGGAGAGGGCAGAGCCAGGCCAGGCACUGCUGCAGGAGGAUCUGGAGGGGACGGUGAGGGGGGAGCUGUGUUGGCUGCCAGGACAGGGAAUCUGUGCUUGCCAGCCCGUGGAGCCAAACUGACUGCAGCUAUGUCUUCAGCCUGUGUGGUAUCGUUGCUUAAACAACCACAAAUGCAGUCCAAGAUGGGGCCCACUGAGCUCUCCUGGAAUGCAGCAGGCCUGUGACCAGCAAUGUCCCUCCGAGGGGGACGCCUCUCAGAGCCAGCAAAACUCCAGGGUUGCUAUACCUGGAUGAUCACUGAACCACCAUGCGUCCUAGGCCGACACCCUCACUCCUCAAGGCCCAGCCCUUUGCUCAUCAGGAGACUCAAAAGCAUCCAAAGGAAGAUAAAAGCAAAACGCAUGUAAGAAUGAGAAAGAUGAGACGGAGUCAAUUUGUUUGCUGUGUCCAUCUCCUCACAGCUGCAGUGGAUCAGUCUCUUGCCUUCAUUGUCCCCAGGGGCCUGGAUGAACUAGAAGGAAUUGUCCUAGUAUGAGUUCUCACAAAAGAAGAAGAGAUGUACAGACCCUACCUUUCAUCCCACCUAAUGCCCCACAGUGCCAAGUUAGUCCCAGAAGCACACAGUGUUCUCAGAGGUUUCCCUGACAACACCACGUAUGCAGUACUCUUCUCAAUCUCCUUUCUUAAUCUGCCUUCAAGAAGAUUCAAAGUGAUAAACAAAACAAGGUUGGAUUAGCUUCUAAAGUAUGAAUAUACUUUUAAUAAAACUUCCACCUGGAAAAA